rnacentral:rRNA from 1 species
AUACACGACCAUAGCCGUUAGAGAAAUCAGGAUCCCGUCUGAUCUCCCGUGAUAACUUGAUGAGCGCUGGAUUAGUGAUUGGGUCUGUGACGACCAGCAAAUACCCGGGGUUGUAUGUC